rnacentral:rRNA from 1 species
ACGGAAGGCAGCAGUGGGGAAUAUUGCACAAUGGGGGAAACCCUGAUGCAGCGACGCCGCGUGAGUGAAGAAGUUAUUCGUAAUGUAAAGCUCUAUCAGCAGGGAAGAAAAUGACGGUACCUGACUAAGAAGCCCCGGCUAACUACGUGCCAGCAGCCGCGGUAGUACGUAGGGGGCAAGCGUUAUCCGGAUUUACUGGGUGUAAAGGGUGCGUAGACGGCUGUGCAAGUCAGAAGUGAAAUCCCGGGGCUUAACCUCGGUGCUGCUUUUGAAACUGUACGGCUAGAGUGCUGGAGGGGCAAGCGGAAUUCCUGGUGUAGCGGUGAAAUGCGUAGAUAUCAGGAGGAACACCGGUGGCGAAGGCGGCUUGCUGGACAGUAACUGACGUUGAGGCACGAAAGCGUGGGGAGCAAACAGGAUUAGAUACCCUGGUA